CCUACGGGAGGCAGCAGUAGGGAAUAUUGCUCAAUGGGGGAAACCCUGAAGCAGCAACGCCGCGUGGAGGAUGAAGGUUUUCGGAUUGUAAACUCCUUUUGUUAGAGAAGAUAAUGACGGUAUCUAACGAAUAAGCACCGGCUAACUCCGUGCCAGCAGCCGCGGUAAUACGGAGGAUGCGAGCGUUAUUCGGAUUUAUUGGGUUUAAAGGGUGCGUAGGCGGACUGGAAAGUCAGCGGUAAAAUCGAGGGGCUCAACCUCUUUCCGCCGUUGAAACUGUCGGUCUUGAGUGGGCGAGAAGUAUGCGGAAUGCGUGGUGUAGCGGUGAAAUGCAUAGAUAUCACGCAGAACUCCGAUUGCGAAGGCAGCAUACCGGCGCCCGACUGACGCUGAGGCACGAAAGCGUGGGUAUCGAACAGGAUUAGAUACCCGUGUAGUC
rnacentral:rRNA from 1 species